rnacentral:lncRNA from 1 species
AUUAAAAAGCCACCUUUCGGCUUUACAGAUGCCUCCGUGGAACACGGAAUUAUGUAAUUGGACGAACAGUUACCACUUUUCCACACUCUUGCUACCCCAUGUUACUGCUGAGCAGACUACUGUUUUGCAGGCCUUCCUUAUUGCGUAAAUGGCUACAUUAUCACUGUGUACACAUUAGGACAAGCAAAUGGGCCCCUUAAGGCAAAUAAGGGUUCAAAUAACCCAGACAAGGUAGCACAACUGAAUUGAGGAUUCACCCUUCUUACAACCUUAUUGCUUUAUGGCACAUGAACUAACGGAAGGGACAGACUGCUUCAAGUGUGUUUCCUCUGAUCCUGUUGGCAAAUCAUAGCUUUAUUACAGUAAUGAGUCUGACCAUAUUUCUGUGCUUAUGCAUAUUAGGCACCAAAUGUAUUUUCUGGCCUGCCAGCCUGUGGUAGUAACUAACACGAGCAAUUUGUCCUGGGUUACAGUGUGUGUGCAUGCAUUAGGUAUGAACAUGUUAGUUGCUCUGGGUUAUAAAACACUACAUGUUUCAUCACGUGUAUUUUUAUGUGCACAACUUAACUAUAUGCAAAAUAGCCUGGCAAUUAACCAACACAACUUAUUAGUAGGCUACAAGAUUAUUCCAUAAUCUUGGGGAAAGCCACAAUUUCAAUUUAGCAAUAUUAAACAUUCCAUAGAAUUAUUAAAUACCUAAGGAAAAUGCUGAAUUUUUUUCCUCUAUAAGUGUUAAGAUUUUUAAAAAAUACCCUUAUUCUCCUCUCAAUUUCAUUUUCAUAACUCGGAAUGACUCCUUUUUAGGAGAAUUUGGGAUUUUAGACCGUGUAUUCCCCUAUACUCAUUGUGAGAUGAUAUUUGGCCUUUGACCACAACCAUUUUCAGGUAAAGGUAAAUGAUCAUUAUUGUAAUUGUUGCCUCAGGAUCAUAUUUUAUGUAUGCCAUUUAUUGGGUUCAUUAUUAUGAAAAAGUGACAUCAGCAUAAAUUUCAGCUCAACCAGUAAAAACAAUGUAUUUUUUUCCUUCCCUUUCUAUUGAUGAAGCAUAGGCCUGGUGCUGUUUGCUUGAUUGUAUAACUGUAUAGGAAGCAUACUAAUAAUUCAGGGGCUUACUUUAAAAGAACAUACAUGUGGAAAUACAUCCUCUUGCGCUCUUAAUUAAAAUUAGCUCUUUCUCUCACUCCCCUGCAAAAUAAAUCAAUAAAUAUAUAAACAAAAAGAAAUAAGUAGGUGAAUAAAGAAUUAGAAUCAGUCAAAAACCUCUGCUAACAGAAUUACCCUUGCUGCUUCCACACAGUUGUUUUAGGUUGUCAGAGAUUUACUUUUUUCCUCCAUUCGGGUUGGAUUUAUGCAAAUGACCACACAGGACA